AUGGCUUCAGGUGCAGCCGCUCUCACUCGGAGGCUGGCCGCCGUCGCUGCUGCCCUCGCCCUGCUGGUCAUACCCUCCUUGGCACGCUGUCCGUCCCUUGGUCCGGCACCACCACCACCAGCGCAGGUGCCACCGCCACCACCGGAGGCGAUACCACCACCACCGGAGCAGGCGCCGCCACCACCACUAGAGGCAAUACCACCACCACCACCGGCACAGGCCCCACCGCCACCACCUGAGGCGACACCACCACCACCACCGGAGGCGAUACCGCCAGCGCCCGUGCCGGAUCCACCUCGGCCAUGCAAUAUCUGUAGCAGAGAGUGCUACCCGGCGUGCACAGCGGCCAUAGCCUCUCUGCCGGAUUCCAAGGCCUGCGACGAGAAAUGCCAGAACGAGAAGAGCCGCUGCGACCAGUGCACGACCCCCAAGAUCGAGGAGUGCACGGCCAAAUGCAACGGCAGCUGUGACUGCCACACCGAACCCUACAAGUCAUGCAGCGACGACUGCCUCUUCCAAGAAUGCAGCCCCUGCUUGACCAUCCGCCGAUUUCAAAUAAAGGAUUGCAGGUACCAGUGCAACAUCGACUACUGCAACGGCAAUAAGUGCUGGUGA
rnacentral:rRNA from 1 species